UACGAGGGGGGCAAGCGUUGUUCGGAAUUAUUGGGCGUAAAGGGUGCGUAGGCGGUUUUGUAAGUCUUGUGUGAAAUCUUCAGGCUCAACUUGAAGACUGCACGAGAAACUGCAGGGCUUGAGUGUGGGAGAGGUGAGUGGAAUUCCUGGUGUAGCGGUGAAAUGCGUAGAUAUCAGGAGGAGCACCUGUGGCGAAAGCGGCUCACUGGACCACAACUGACGCUGAGGCGCGAAAGCCAGGGGAGCAAACGGG
rnacentral:rRNA from 1 species